rnacentral:tRNA from 1 species
GCCGGAAUAGCUCAGUUGGUAGAGCAGCUCAUUCGUAAUGAGAAGGUCGUAGGUUCGAUUCCUAU